rnacentral:lncRNA from 1 species
GUAAAAGAAGCUUCCACUCUUCCCCGGAGAAGAAAACUCUCUAAGCGCAUCAUUGCCACAAAUAGCUAGCAUGUAAUCAGCAGGAUCGAUUUGGAAUAGCUCCCUCAAAUGUCUGAAACUCGCAAAAGGGAAUGCCGUUACCAACAUAGUAAAUGCCGGUGAAACACGAAUGAUGGCAAAAUGCUAUUUAUAUCAGAAUCAGUGGAAACUAGUAUGCAAUCAAGCAAGCUCAUUACUAUACUAUUUUUAUUCUUCAGUUUGCAGAUAAAUCAACUAAAAAGGUUUGCAGAUAAAUCAACUAAAAAGCAGGAGGAACAUACCGAAACACCACCGGGCAAUAAUCCUUCCAUCGGAACUCGAUGGACUGAUGAGGCGGUGUAAGCUUUGAUCCUUCAGACGGAAACUUCGUCCAGAACUUCUCUUUCGGAUCAAAAUCUGAUGGCUUUAAAUCCUGCAACAUCGAAG